AUCAUCGCCUUUGCUAUGUUCAACGGUUUUAAAUUGUGGCGUGGAUCUACUGUAACGGGACUUUCAGUAUUCCCGUGUAUCUCCGUGUUCAAAAAGAAUAACGAGAGUUUCAGUGUUUAAGAAUAAAUAAUAUAUUCUUAUUAAAAUCACAGGUAUUUACAAAUUAAUUAGCAAGAUAUGAAACAGCAUCAUAAUAAGUACAAGGGAGUGUGAUAUUUACCAUUUAAAAGCUGUAUAAUUUUGAAUUUAGCCCCAAUCUAAUUCAAAUCAGACUUCUUAGAUCCGCGCAGUACACUUUGCGUAAGUAACGAUUGUGAGCGUAUCCUAGGAUCUGAUCUUAAUUAGAUUGAAUUUAGCCCUGGCAGUCCCCGAAAUACGUCUAAACCGUACUGAAGUAAGUUGUUAACUCACUCUAGAAUAUCCGACCAGCCAGAUCUUACAGUGGCGGAUUUAAGGGGGACGCAGCCGCCCUCCCCUAAAAUUGUCAAUUUCAAGGUAAAUCGGUAUCUUGUUUAGAUAAAUAUACUAAACGAUAAAAGAAGCAAUAAUUUCUUCCACUUCCGGAAAAAUAGAUGACAAAAUCUUUUUAUUUCUUAAAUUUCUUAAAUUACUUUAUCGGGAGAACUUAGUUUUUUUUUCCCUUGAGUCAUUUCAUUAAUUUCACCUUAUUGAAAAUGAUUUUUAAAAAAAAGUAUAAAUGACUAUAUAUUAAAUAGGAGACACAUUUCAAGCCCUAUACAAUCUGUAAAAUCCAGGAGCUUCCGGAGGCUUCGCCACAUAGGUCCUCACCAAGGCUGUGCCCUGGACCCAUCAGGGGCCUCAAGGCGGUCCCCAGACCCCCUGUCUCAUAAACUAGCUCUCCCCGUAACCGCAAUUCCUGGAUUCGCCCCUGUGUUACAAUCCCGGCACGCGCAUAAGAAACCCGGUCGGGUUUAAGGUUGAUCGAUCCUCAUGUGAUGUCAUAGGUUUUUGCAAAAAUCUUAAGGAAUAAUCUGCAUGAUAGAAAUAUAUCUGUCUGAGGAAUUUUAUUCACUGGAUAUAAUAAAAAAAAUCUGGUAAACCAUCAACACUGAAAAAGUUUAUAUUUUCCACAGAUAAACAAUUAUUUAUGAUUUAAAAAAUGUUGUCAAGGGCAAUAAAUCCUAUGCUGGAAUUUCCUCUACUGGAUGCCUAUUAUCAUUGGUUUCCCUAAUAUCCACAAUUAAUCUAUACAUAUUUGUGAAUUAGCAGUUUUUUUUUAAAACUGUUUCAUAUUUAAAUUUUGUCACUUCAACAAGUUUUCAUCUAUUUUUAUUAUUCUGUUUGACGAAAAUGUUUGACUUUCUGAUGUUGAUGUAUGCUUCUGUUUUUGUAUGUCUGACAUCUUUAAAAGGUGGCAACAUAUCCAUUUUCUUUGGUUAUUAAUCAAAUUAAACUAUAUUGAGUGGAAAUUAAAACAGUGUUUCCACUUUUAUCCAGUAAUAUUGAUAAGUCACAUGAGGAUGGAGCUACCUUAAACAAAGGGAAGUAACUUUGAUAGAAUACCCUCACACUACAAAUAUUCUGACAAUCUAAUAAAUAUGUGGAGUGGGAAGAUAUGAUAUUCGCUAAUAUUUUGUAAUGAUAAUUUUUAGCUGAGCACUACAUAAUUUACAGUGGCGGAUCUAGUGGGUGGGUUUUCUUUUAACAUUAUCACCCAAUUUUUUUUUUUAGCAAUUGCUAUUUUGCGGUCUUUGAUUCACCUCCUUUUUUGAGAGAAUUUUCUGGAUUCGCCAAUGAUUUUGUUUUCAAGAAAUACAACUCUUUCCAUGUUCGUUUCAUGCCACGAAGAAUUUACCAGAGUUGUCUUUCUUUAUGAAGCAGAAGACACUUGCCGUGAAAACGGAAAUGGAUGCCGUGAAAAACAGUUCUGAGUUCAUUUUAGGGAUAUUUGCAGGUACUUACUAACUUAGUAAAAAUAACUGUCGGGUACAGUGCUAUUAGGUAUUACUGAAUAUAUCGUCUUGUUUUAAAAUUAUCUAUAUAUGCGAGUUGCAUAUGUAACAGGAAGGGAGAAAAUGCAACGGACCAGACUGGGAUUCGAACCUGGGCCCCCUGAAUAUCUAGUCAGGUGCUCUACCAACUGAGCUAACUGGCCACCGGCGAUCGAACCCGGCUGACCGCUACAUUCCCCCCUCCUUAAAUGUCUUCACACCUGAAGACAUUAACCCAGGAUCUUUUUUCCCCAUGCAGGCAUUUUAACCUGUCAGUUCCAAGGGCACCAAAUGUAACAGGAAGGGAGAAAAUGCAACGGACCAGACCGGGAUUCGAAUCCGGGCCCCCUGAAUCUCUAGGCAAGUGCUCUACCAACUGAGCUGAGCUAACAGGCCACCGGCGAUCGAACCAGGCUGACCGCUACACAUAAAACAAAUGAUAUAUGUUGUCCACUAAGCUAAUGGUAGGGAUCGUAGCAGCUACCCUGCACACAGACAUUGAAUGGAGCUGUCUGGUCCAUUAUCAGAAGAGUGGGCAGCACUGUGUGUCCGAUCAGAGAAGUUUCUCGAGAAGCAUUACGAGCUCCAGGGCAACAUUAUUUUAAAUUAUGUAUACUUCCUGGUCACUUGGCCUGCUAUCAUCUUAUUUUUUUUUUUAGAAUCAUCUGAGAACUUUUACUGCCCCUUUGGCUCAAUGGAUAUGAAAACGGUUGGCUCAAAUUUCAUGACUGAAUAAAAUAAAACACUUUCAUUAAAAAAGUUCUCAGAUUUCAAACAUUCAUUAUUGAAACUUACUAACAAAUAGUAUAUAUACAGUGGAACCCCGUUAUUACGUUUUCCAUUUUGUCACGAUAAAAUAACGUAAUACCGGGGGCAACGUAAUAAACGUUCCCAGUUAAAUCCAUUAAAAAUAUCAUUUGGAAAGUGUAUAUCGUCCGUUGGUACUCCGUGAAAGGGGUGUGUGAAUAUAUCUUUACUGUUUCUUUGUUUAAAAGACUAUGAUACUUUGUUUUAUUUACAUCUUAUCUUUAAUGUCCGUAAUUCUGCAUGUUCUUAUCCCUUUUCUUUAUUUCGGUGUAGGAUACAUAAGGAUGUUUUGAUAAAUGUUGCUUUUUCUGCAUUCGUUUGGACUGCCAUUUUGUUCAACUUUAAAACAAUGCGUUCAUGUAAAUUUCUCUCAAUAACUCGUUCCGGUUCAUAUUCAACAUUCGUACUAAAAAAUAACAAAACAUCCUUUUUAUUAAGUUCUCUAAUUACACAAUACACAACACAAUAAAAAAAAAUCCCACCCAAAAAACAACAAAACUAUAGACACAAAACACACACGAUACCCAACACUUGCACACUUCUCACCAACGAUAAACAUGCAUGGAGAACAAUUUAAGCGCAAUCCACAUAAAAAAAAAUAUAUAAUGAUGCACGAAGAUUUCAUUUAUAACGCUAAAUGAUGGCACUAAAAUCACGUGCGCAUCAAGGGAUUUUAAAAUAUUCACUGAGGUAAAUGCCGUGCACAAAUCGGCCGAUAGAUUGGUGUAUGUAUAGACGAGAUUUACGAACACCCAAGCUGCAUGUCCCAACAACGAACAAUUUUUUUAAUUGAACACCUUUAGUCACCUAUGUCCAAGCAGUUAUCCAAGCGGUUGUAACAUUGCUACGAUAAAUUUUGUCUUUCUUGUUUGGUGCCAAAGCUGUCCGUGAAUAGAAUUUUAAUAGCGAAGGUAAUCACACUAUGUUGAACACGCAGGUGGUUGAGAAAUUAUUUCUUUGAUUAUCAAAAUAUGAAAAAUGAAGUAAAUUUCAUAGAGUACAAUUUCUAAAUAAACAUUAUUUAAUUGUUUAUCACUGGCUUCUAUACGGGGUAUUCACCUGUAUUGAUGUCGCUAGAUCUAUCGAAGCGUGAUCAGUCAAGCGUCUCUAAUCCCCAAACAGACCAGGAAAUUUACGUGGUGACUGCCUCAGGCAGUCAAGGUGUGAAUGGCUUAUUAUUUUGAGAAUCACUAUUGAAUAAUUAGGGGUUUAUUACGUUUUUGUCGGAAUAUUUACAACGUAAUACCGAGUCCCGGCAUUUUAGGACAACGUAAUAACGAGGUCUAUUUUAUAUAGGUUUGUUAAGAAAUGGUUUUGUGCUUUGAAAUUCCAACGUAAUAUGCGGACUAACGUAAUAAAGGGGGAAUGUAAUAACGGGUUCCACUGUAUUAUACCUAAUAACCAUGUUAACUACUAGCAAAUAAUUAAGAAAACAAAACAAAUAUUUCUAAUAUCUUGAAGAAAUAAAUCAAAUCUUCUUGUUACACACUUUAAAUGUUUAAAGGCAACUAUUUAAAAAUGAGUCUGAGGUUUUAUUUGUCAUAAAAACUAACACUCAUGAUAGUCAACAUCAUCUUUGUUUUGUCAUUUUCUUCAUGUAAGUGACCAUGCAUUCAGCAAAGUUCAUUCUUUGUCAACAUUUUAAUUAUUUUCAUGCUUUGAGGUGACACUUCCAUAGAAGGAGUACACAAUUUGUGUUGCUGGCUGCAAGAACGACUCACCCACCCACCCCGAGUACAUAAUGUAUACAGCCUCACGGGUUAUUGUACAUUGCAUCGCUUUAAACAGGAAUUACAUGUAGGGACUUGGCUUCUGAGGGAUGUGACAUUUACCAGCUGGCAACAUAUGUGACUCAAUCAUCUCAGCCUCAUUUACAUUCUCAAUUUUGGCAAUAACUUAUCAUUGAAAUUUUGUAGGGACUUGUAUGAAUGGGCAGAAGACAUUUUCUUAACUCACCACUCCAUCAUUGCCUGGUGUUGGAGACUGAACACUUUAUUGAAAAUUGAUGGGAUGUAGCAAUCAAUGGGUGUCAUCAUUUGCCCUGAGAAGACUAAGAGAACUCCCUGGUCCUCAUGAGAUGGUGAUACCCUGCAGUAGGCCUACAGCAGUUCUUACCGGUAUCUCUUUAAAGAAGACAGAGGUUUUCUUAGCAUCUCUGAUCCAUUUCUGGAGACAAACUUUUGAAUGGAGUUGGGUAGCAGUUACUUGAGAUGUCUGGCUGAUUGACGAGGAUAAUUGUCCUGCGACUCUGACAUUCUGAAGGACUUGGAUAGCUCUGUUGCUGUAGAAAAUGUUAGGACGGUGGAGAUUUAGAUAAGUGGUGUGAUGUUAUUGAUGGUAAACAGAAGACUGUGACCUUGAAUCUGAAGAUCUGUGAUGAAGACUGGACGUUUGGGGUCACUCUCUGUUACAGUACUACAAAUCUAACAGUGUGACACUCAGCCACAAAGAGGUUGUCUCUGAUGUCCACACAUAAACCCUGAGGAGACUCUAAAUCACAGUGAAUGUAACGGAGGAACUGUCCGUCCUGAUCUAGGAUGUGGAUACGGUGAUUCCAACAGUCUGCUGUCAGGAUGUGACUCUGGCUGUCUGUAGUGAUGCCGACUGGAUUAAAUGAUUGCUUGGUAUUAGAGGGAUGACCAGUGUAUCUAAAUCGGAGUUUUCCUGACUGAUUGACCACCACUACUGCACUAGCUCCAUAGUCAGCCACACAGAUAUCCAGGUUCUUGUUCUCACUGAGGUAUUUAAUGUAAUAAACAGAUGAGUAGAGAGGACGACCCUGAUCAUCAAACUGAAUGCUUUGUUUCUCUGUGGAGCCGGAGUAACGCACGACUUUGGAUUGUUCUCCAUCAUCACUGUCCAUGGUAACCAGGAGGUCGUUACCCGCGGUACAGCAGACAUAGAGAGGUAUCCACCCCUGUAGUGUGAUCACGAAUGAGUUGAGUGGAAUUAUGAACCUCCAGAUGUCUAUGUACAUGUGUAUAUUAUAAUUAAACUUCUGUUGCACUCGCGCAUGCGAGAUCACUCUA